CCUACGGGAGGCAGCAGUGGGGGAUAUUGCACAAUGGGGGAAACUCUGAUGCAGCGAUGCCGCGUGAAUGAAGACGGCCCUCGGGUUGUAAAGUUCUGUCGCAGGGGACGACAAUGACGGUACCCUGCAAGAAAUCUCCGGCUAACUACGUGCCAGCAGCCGCGGGAAUACGUAGGGAGCAAGCGUUGUCCGGAAUUACUGGGUGUAAAGGGAGCGUAGGCGGGAGGAUAAGUUGAAUGUGAAAUCUAUGGGCUCAACCGCGGAACUGCUUUGGAAACUGGAAAGCUGGAGUACUGGAGAGGCAGGCGGAAGUCCUAGUGUAGCGGUGAAAUGCGUAGAUAUUAGGAGGAACACCAGUGGCGAAGGCGGCCUGCUGGACAGAAACUGACGUUGAGGCUCGAAAGCGUGGGGAGCAAACAGGAUUAGAUACCCGUGUAGUC
rnacentral:rRNA from 1 species